GGGCUUGAACUUGCAAUCCUGCUUCAACCUCCAGGGUGCUGGGGCUCCAGGCAUGUGUCACCGCAUCCAGUAUGGGCGUUUAUUUCUGGAAUCUCAAUUCUAUUCCAUUUCUCUGUAGGUCUAACUUGAUGACGUCACUAUCAGCGUGAUAUGUUUCCAUGCAUCAUUUCCGUUUCCCCCUCUGUAUUUUCAUGACAUUAUAAUCCUUGCAAUUAUCUGCUCACGUGUGCUUUGUCACUGGGAACGUGCCGGUUCUCCUGUUCAUCUCAGUCGUGGCGAGUGAGCAGUGAGUCACGCAUGGUCAACAAGGGCCUGAACAAGCUGGAGUCGGGAAGAAGUGAGGCUGGCCGCUGACUGUGGAGGUCAUGCAUACAGCUUAUUCCCAACUCUCCCGACCAGGUGGUGGAAAGUGGGCUUUGGUGGAUGAUGAACAGCACACACUGAGGAUGCUGGGAGGAAUCAUGGACCUGGUCUAGCUGGAGACGGAACCCAAGGCCUUGUGCCUACUGAACACGCACGCCACCACUGCACGACGCCCCAGUCCUUUUCAUAAAAGAGCGCUCAAGGACGAUCAGCGCUUACAGAAUGUGCGCUCACCCCUUCUACACUGCUCAGGUCUGCACACACGUGUGAACGUGUGGCCUCCCUCUGACCCUUUGUUCAAGUUUGCUCUCUUGAAGACCAUUAAAAAAAAAACAAACCAAGAAA